rnacentral:rRNA from 1 species
AGAGUUUGAUCAUGGCUCAGAAUCAACGCUGGCGGCGUGCCUAACACAUGCAAGUCGAACGCGAAAACCCCGCAAGGGGUUAGUAGAGUGGCAAACGGGUGAGUAACGCGUGGGUGACCUGCCUUCGAGUGGGGGAUAACCUUCCGAAAGGAGGGCUAAUACCGCAUCACAUCCCGUGUUUGGAUACACGGUGAUCAAAGCCGGGGAUCGCAAGACCUGGCGCUUGAAGAGGGACCUGCGUCCGAUUAGCUAGUUGGUGGGGUAACGGCUCACCAAGGCUCCGAUCGGUAUCCGGCCUGAGAGGGCGGACGGACACACUGGAACUGAGACACGGUCCAGACUCCUACGGGAGGCAGCAGUGGGGAAUUGUUCGCAAUGGGCGCAAGCCUGACGACGCAACGCCGCGUGGAGGAUGAAGACCUUCGGGUCGUAAACUCCUUUCGACCGAGAUGAAUUCUCGCCGACCUAACACGUCGGCGGGGUGACAGUAUCGAGGGAAGCAGCCCCGGCUAACUCCGUGCCAGCAGCCGCGGUA